rnacentral:lncRNA from 1 species
AUGAAGGAGAGGAUUGGAUUUGAGGAGAUACUGACGGGGGUGCACAGCUGCAACAGUCCCCUCCAUCUCCACACCAGGACUAAUCCCCCCCCCCUCUCUCUCUCUCUCCCUCCCUGUGUGUUUGACUCUCCCUCUGUCGCACUCUCUCUGCUUUCUGCCUCUCGGAGGGGUGGGGGGUGCCAUAUGGGAGCUCAGAAAAAUGGAAGUGGAGCGGAGAUAGACAAGAGAGGAAUCUGUCAUUCUCGGGCUCGGAUGUCGGGGAUCUAUGUGAGAGGCGAACUAAAAUCUGACCCCAGGCAGCGAAACCCCCAGAGCAAGACACUUCCAUGAAGGGUAAGUUAUCACAAUCCUUCACCAUCUGUUUGAUGAACUUUGAUUUUUUUGGGGGUGAAUCUCAACAAAGGCUCUUGUUGCAGUUUCUCUAAAUGACAGCUGAACUGAACUCAAAACCCUUUUGCUCCAGACUUUGGACUCGCUGUCUCUUUCACGCUCUAUAUGAACGCUGAAGAACGCCUACACUGUCAGCUGACGUUCAGCACACUAGGCAAGAAGUUUUUAGGUCAAGUCACGUUGUGUGAUUGGCAUCUCUCUCUAAAUCACAUCAUCUGAGACACGCCACUCACAUUCACUUUCAUAGUUCUUUGUCACAUCAGAGAGUACAGUGCUCAGAUUUUAUGAUACAUUUUUUGUCAUUUAUUCAGUUACUUUGAUACUUUGGCCAUAACCAUUUGGCACAAACCCGUAGAUCCGAUCUUGUGGCAAAUCUGACAGCACAAGCUCGCCUCUGUGGGUCUUUGUCAUUGUGGUGUGAACGUCGUCUUUUAACCUUUUUUUUUUCUUUUUGCUUGAAUAACCUGUUUGGUGAUAUGAGUGUAGUGUAAAGUGUAAAAUAUAAAUAAUAGUCUCAUGGCAGUACAUAUUAAACAAAUGAU